rnacentral:misc_RNA from 1 species
GCAAUUUUCUUCUUCUCUUGUCACCUGUCAGUUUAUUAGCUUUUUCAUCAUCCUUCAAAUUUUCUUCUGUUUGAUCUGCCUUAAGUGCGUUAUUAAUAUUUUUCAGCUCUAUAAUAGUUGACAUUGUGAUUCCAGUUUCAAUAUUUGUGAAGUCAAUGUCAAAUAUUGCAAUUAAUUCGAGAAGAUAAAUCGCACCUUCCUUUUUGUGUAUAGAAUCUAUUUACAUAAAUUCCCCACGAUUCUUCUGCCAUAUCGGUGCUCUUUGAAGUUUUCUCAUAUAAUUGUAUAUAGACCCUUCGGCCUCUUCUUCCUCUGUAUUGAAAACCAAGGUUUUCUCUAGCCUAGUAUCUGUCGUCCCUCUGUUUCUGCUCUGUUAUACUCUGUUUCUCUCCGUUAUGGCUCCCCCGAAUAAUCCCGCGAAUUCGAUCUUCAAAUUCAUUCAUUCAGAGACUUUAGAGAAAAACUUCGACUUAUCCAGUGGGAAGUUUAGUGUCAAAAGCAUCCCGUUGCUCUAUGAUGUUCCAAGCAAUGUCACUUUUGCUCCCUUUUUGUCUGUCUGCAACUAUUCCGAGUCUGAUGCCCCACUUCCUCUUCUCCAGCGUGUCACUUCUCUGUCUCACAGGGGAGGAUUCAUUGGGUUCCACAAAGAUGCACCGUCCCAUCGAGCGAUGAACUCCAUCGGGAGGUUCACCGGUAGGGACUUUUUGUCAAUAUUUAGGUUCAAAACUUGGUGGUCUACCAUGUGGGUGGGUAGCUCUGGGUCUGAUUUGCAGAUGGAAACCCAAUGGAUUCUCCUUAAUGUUCCUGAAAUAAAGUCUUAUGUCCUAAUAAUCCCUAUCGUUGAAGGCAGUUUUAGGUCUGCUCUUCAUCCUGGCAGUGAUGGGCAUUUGAUGAUUUAUGCUGAGAGUGGGUCUACCAAAGUGAAAGCAUCCACUUUUGAUGCUAUUGCUUAUGUUCAUGUGUGUGAAAAUCCUUUCAACAUUAUGAAGGAGGCUUAUAGCGCUCUCAGGGUCCAUCUCAAUACAUUCAGGCUUUUGGAAGAGAAAACCGCUCCUUCUCUUGUUGACAAAUUUGGGUGGUGCACUUGGGAUGCUUUCUAUUUAACCGUGGAGCCUACUGGCAUAUGGCAUGGUGUGAAGGAUUUUGUUGAAGGUGGUGCCCCUCCAAGGUUUCUUAUUAUCGAUGAUGGAUGGCAAAGCAUCAAUCUUGAUGGCGAGAAGCCCAACGAGGACGCUAAAAACCUCGUUCUUGGUGGGACUCAAAUGACCGCCAGGCUUCACAGACUCGAUGAAUGUGAGAAGUUCAGGAAGUACAAGGGAGGCUCCAUCUUGGGUCCUAACCGUCCUACCUUCGAUCCAAAGAGGCCUAAGAUGUUGAUUUCCAAGGCAAUCGAACUCGAACAUGCUGAAAAGGAUCGCGACAAGGCCAUCCAAUCUGGUGUCACUGAUUUAUCCGCUUUUGAAAGAAGAAUGGAACAGUUGAAAAAAGAAUUGGACGCCUUGUUUGGUGGAGAAGAUAAGAGUGGCUGUGGAAAUUGUUCUUGUAAGGUUGAGAACUACGGCAUGAAGGCAUUUACAAGGGAUUUGAGAACAAAAUUCAAAGGUUUGGAUGAUAUAUACGUGUGGCAUGCUCUUUGUGGUGCUUGGGGUGGGGUUAGGCCAGGCUCUACACACUUGAAUUCAAAGAUUACUCCUUGCAAAUUGUCUCCUGGACUCGAUGGGACAAUGAACGAUCUUGCUGUGGUAAAAAUUAUUGAAGGUGGUAUUGGGCUAGUUCAUCCUGAGCAAGUUGGAGAUUUCUAUGACUCCAUGCACUCUUACCUUGCUAGUGCUGGUAUUACAGGUGUGAAGGUGGAUGUCAUUCACACCCUUGAAUAUGUGUCUGAAGAAUAUGGAGGCCGUGUCGAGCUUGCAAAGGCAUAUUACAAGGGGCUAUCAGAUUCAUUGUCAAAAAAUUUCAGAGGAAGUGGACUCAUCUCUAGUAUGCAACAAUGCAAUGAUUUCUUCCUCCUUGGGACAAAGCAGAUAUCCAUGGGAAGAGUAGGUGAUGACUUCUGGUUCCAGGAUCCAAAUGGUGAUCCAAUGGGAGUUUAUUGGUUGCAAGGAGUGCAUAUGAUCCACUGUGCCUAUAACAGUAUGUGGAUGGGACAAAUUAUACAACCUGAUUGGGACAUGUUCCAAUCUGACCACUUGUGUGCCCAGUUCCAUGCUGGAUCUAGGGCCAUUUGUGGUGGACCUGUCUAUGUGAGUGACUCUGUGGGCUGUCAUGAUUUUCAACUCCUGAAGAAACUUGUUUACCCUGAUGGGACCAUUCCCAAGUGCCAGCACUUUGCCCUGCCUACCAGAGACUGCCUCUUCAAGAACCCUCUAUUUGACAACAAAACUAUUCUCAAGAUUUGGAACUUCAACAAGUAUGGAGGUGUAAUUGGAGCAUUCAACUGCCAAGGAGCUGGAUGGGACCCCAAGGAGCGAAGGAUCAAAGGUCACUCUGAGUGCUACAAGCCAAUCUCUGGUUCUAUUCAUGUCACGGACAUUGAAUGGGACCAGAAGAUAGAGGCUGCCCAAAUGGGAAAGGCAGAGGAGUACAUAGUGUAUCUCAACCAAGCAGAGGACCUAAUAUUGAAGACCCCAAAAUCUGACGCAAUAGAAGUGACCAUCCAGCCAUCUUCAUUUGAGCUCUUCAGCUUUGUACCCAUUAGAAAGCUAGGAGCUGACACCAAAUUUGCUCCCAUUGGUCUAACCAACAUGUUUAACAGUGGCGGCACAAUUCAAGAAUUUGGAUAUUUUGUGUCAGCAGCUGAGAUUAGCGUGAAGGUUAAAGUUAAAGGUGGAGGAAAUUUCUUGGCCUACUCGAAUGUGUCCCCAAAGAAGUGUUUCUUGAAUGAUGCUGAAGUUGCCUUUGAGUGGUUUUCUGAUGGCAAAUUGACCUUGAGUCUGCCUUGGAACGAAGAUGCUGGUGGUGUAUCUGAUGUCUCAUUUAUGUUUUGAUCAAAGAAUCUAAUUGUCCCCUUGUUUAGAGUGCAUAGUAGCCACGGUGAUGAAAGUUAAAUGCCGUGGCAAACAACUAUCCUAAAUAAACUUAAUUUUAUGUUUUAAGGACUCUGAAUUCAAAAUGCUUCCAAAUAUGAUUGCCCUUUUGACUAUAUUUGCCAUUUCUCACUGCAAUGAUGGCAAAUCAGAGUCAAAAGAAGAAGGAUGUAGAAUUCUUGAUGUAAAAAAAUGGCACCAUGCAAUUCACAGCUUGUGCCAUGGUGACGAAACUUUAGACCAAUUGGUGGCGCUGGCAUUACAUUUUCAGAAUAUAUUUAUUCUGUACAUCUCAAAUUUCAGUUUACUAAUGGUUAUCGGAACGCU